rnacentral:lncRNA from 1 species
GCAAGGCUGCCCCACCAGUCGGGCUGUGUGCACUGCUCAUGGUCCACCACAGGCAUCAGAGCGUCCUGAAGUUUGUCUGGCAAUGGUCCCCCCGUGGUCAGCCUCCCCCAUCCGCUCAGGUAGCAGGGGUAGCCAUUGGGCAGCACGGUGCCCGCGGGCGGCAGCCGCCCUGUCUGCACGUAGUCGUUGAGCACAGCAUUGCGCCGCAGUUUCAGCAGGGCGAUGUCAUUCCCGCAGGCCGCGCAGAACCUGUUCCACUUGGGGUGCACGAAGAUGUCGUCGGCUGCGACGGGGAUGCGCUGCUCG